rnacentral:rRNA from 1 species
CACGUAGGGUGCAAGCGUUGUCCGGAAUUAUUGGGCGUAAAGAGCUCGUAGGCGGUUUGUCGCGUCUGCUGUGAAAACGCGAGGCUCAACCUCGCGCCUGCAGUGGGUACGGGCAGACUAGAGUGCGGUAGGGGAGAUUGGAAUUCCUGGUGUAGCGGUGGAAUGCGCAGAUAUCAGGAGGAACACCGAUGGCGAAGGCAGAUCUCUGGGCCGUAACUGACGCUGAGGAGCGAAAGCGUGGGGAGCGAACAGG